rnacentral:rRNA from 1 species
GUGCCAGCAGCCGCGGUAAUUCCAGCUCCAAUAGCGUAUAUUAAAGUUGUUGUGGUUAAAAAGCUCGUAGUUGAACCUUGGGCCUGGCUGGCCGGUCCGCCUCACCGCGUGCACUGGUCCGGCCGGGCCUUUCCCUCUGUGGAACCCCAUACCCUUCACUGGGCGUGGCGGGGAAACAGGACAUUUACUUUGAAAAAAUUAGAGUGCUCCAGGCAGGCCUAUGCUCGAAUACAUUAGCAUGGAAUAAUAAAAUAGGACGCGCGGUUCUAUUUUGUUGGUUUAUAGGACCGCCGUAAUGAUUAAUAGGGACAGUCGGGGGCAUCAGUAUUCAACUGUCAGAGGUGAAAUUCUUGGAUCAGUUGAAGACUAACUACUGCGAAAGCAUUUGCCAAGGAUGUUUUCAUUAAUCAGGAACGAAAGUUAGGGGAUCGAAGACGAUCAGAUACCGUCGUAGUCUUAACCAUAAACUAUGCCGACUAGGGAUCGGACGGUGUUAUUCAUGACCCGUUCGGCACCUUACGAGAAAUCAAAGUGCUUGGGCUCCAGGGGGAGUAUGGUCGCAAGGCUGAAACUUAAAGAAAUUGACGGAAGGGCACCACCAGGGGUGGAGCCUGCGGCUUAAUUUGACUCAACACGGGGAAACUCACCAGGUCCAGACACAAUAAGGAUUGACAGAUUGAGAGCUCUUUCUUGAUUUUGUGGGUGGUGGUGCAUGGCCGUUCUUAGUUGGUGGGGUGACUUGUCUGCUUAAUUGCGAUAACGAACGAGACCUUAA